rnacentral:rRNA from 1 species
GACGAACGCUGGCGGCGUGCCUAAUACAUGCAAGUAGAACGCUGAAGAGAGGAGCUUGCUCUUCUUGGAUGAGUUGCGAACGGGUGAGUAACGCGUAGGUAACCUGCCUUGUAGCGGGGGAUAACUAUUGGAAACGAUAGCUAAUACCGCAUAACAAUGGAUGACACAUGUUAUUUAUUUGAAAGGGGCAAUUGCUCCACUACAAGAUGGACCUGCGUUGUAUUAGCUAGUAGGUGAGGUAAUGGCUCACCUAGGCGACGAUACAUAGCCGACCUGAGAGGGUGAUCGGCCACACUGGGACUGAGACACGGCCCAGACUCCUACGGGAGGCAGCAGUAGGGAAUCUUCGGCAAUGGGGGCAACCCUGACCGAGCAACGCCGCGUGAGUGAAGAAGGUUUUCGGAUCGUAAAGCUCUGUUGUAAGUCAAGAACGGGUGUGAGAGUGGAAAGUUCACACUGUGACGGUAGCUUACCAGAAAGGGACGGCUAACUACGUG